CGCGGGGUGGAGCAGCCCGGUAGCUCGUCAGGCUCAUAACCUGAAGGUCGCAGGUUCGAAUCCUGCCCCCGCAA
rnacentral:tRNA from 1 species